rnacentral:rRNA from 1 species
GAUCCUGGCUCGGAUUGAACGCUGGCGGCAGGCUUAACACAUGCAAGUCGAACGGUAACAGGAGAGAGCUUGCUUUCUUGCUGACGAGUGGCGGACGGGUGAGUAAUGCUUGGGAAUCUGGCUUAUGGAGGGGGAUAACGACGGGAAACUGUCGCUAAUACCGCGUGGAGUCGAGAGACGAAAGUGCGGGACCGCAAGGCCGCAUGCCAUAGGAUGAGCCCAAGUGGGAUUAGGUAGUUGGUGGGG